rnacentral:rRNA from 1 species
GUACUCCUACGGGGAGGCAGCAGUGGGGAAUAUUGCACAAUGGGGGAAACCCUGAUGCAGCCAUGCCGCGUGUGUGAAGAAGGCCUUCGGGUUGUAAAGCACUUUCAGUAGGGAGGAAGGUAGUGUAGUUAACACCUGCAUUAUUUGACGUUACCUACAGAAGAAGCACCGGCUAACUCCGUGCCAGCAGCCGCGGUAAUACGGAGGGUGCGAGCGUUAAUCGGAAUUACUGGGCGUAAAGCGCAUGCAGGCGGCCUGUUAAGUCAGAUGUGAAAGACCCGGGGCUUAACCUCGGAAUUGCAUUUGAAACUGGCAGGCUAGAGUCUUGUAGAGGGGGGUAGGAAUUUCAGGUGUAGCGGUGAAAUGCGUAGAGAUCUGAAGGAAUACCAGUGGCGAAGGCGGCCCCCUGGACAAAGACUGACGCUCAGAUGCGAAAGCGUGGGGAGCCAAACAGGAUUAGAUACCCUCGGUAG